rnacentral:rRNA from 1 species
UACGUCGGGGGCGAGCGUUGUCCGGCUUUAUUGGGCGUAAGGAGCGUGUAGGCGGCCACUUCAGUCUGCUGUGAAAGUCCAGGGCUCAACCCUGGGAUGUCAGUGGAUACUGGGUGGCUCGAGUCCGGAAGAGGAGUGUGGAAUUCCUGGUGUAGCGGUGAAAUGCGCAGAUAUCAGGAGGAAAACCAAGGGCGAAGGCAGCACUCUGGGAAGUGACUGACGCUGAGACGCGAAAGCGGGGGGAGCAAACAGG